rnacentral:lncRNA from 1 species
UCAGAAAUGUGAAAGUCCAAAAAAUCAUCUGGAAAGGCCAACCUUAGGUUCUACAAUAGUGAUCUUAUCUAUAGGAGUAAUUGAGGAAGUCACUCAAAUCUUAUGAAAUCUUGCACAAAUCUUGUGACCUCCAAAACAAUGGCUGGCUAUUGUUUAAGUAUGCCUACAUCUUAGCAGAAUUUGGGCUCCUCCCGGAAUCCUAACAUUGUGGUCUUUCAUUAGUUUUAUAGGGCAGUUUAGUUUUGGGAAGGGCUAUUUUCAUCCUUGCUUUAAAGUUAAACUACAAAUAAAUUCCUCCCGUGGUUAGCCUGGCUUCUGCCCAGGAAUGAGCAAGGACAGCCAGCCUGUGAGGCUGGAGGCAAGAUGGAGUCAGCUAUGUUAGGCUUCUCUCACUGCCAUCAUCUUUGCAAAGGUGGUUUCACACUCACUCAGACUGGGACGUUGUACACAUGCCAAUCAACCUAACAUGCACAUCUUUGGAAUGCAGGAGGAAACCAGAGGACCCGGAGAAAACCCACACAGAUAAAUAAUUUGCAACUUCCUUGUCUGCCAAGACUACUGUGAACAUAUACUCUGGUGACCCGGACAUUGUUACAAGCCUCAGAGCAUGGAUCCUUCUGGCAGAGAAAAGAUUGUCAUAAGCAUAGACCUUUAGCUUGAUGCCUUCAUGAGAUAAAGGGGAAACUGGAGCUUGGAACUUGAUUUCAUCCACAGGAACGGCUGGAAAAUCAUCUUCAAUCAUUUCACCUGGAAGUCUCCCAAGAGGACAUGAGUAUCCUGUUAAGACAUCCUUUUAUGUUUUCAGUAGCUUUGCAGUUUUGUCUUUGAUUCUUCAUGCUCAAGCAUUUGCGGGCCUUGAUCCUGGAGAGACUGCCCCUUCCAGCACUAGAGAUAAUUCCUAGAGAUAGCCAAGGACUCCCCUGCAAGCAUGCCUUUAACAUACAAACCAACCAAUCCAGAGCCCAACCCACAACCAUCUCCUUUAUCAAAUUCUCACACACCAAGCCAAUAUUCCCCAUGUACUAAGUCACCCCAGGGCCAGGUACAGGACAACCAGAGAUCUUUCCUAUAGCCCAGAAACAGCUGGAAUUAUUCAGACCAUCCAAUCCUAGGCAUACUCAGUGUCUCUACCUUGACUCGCUCAGGACUGGAGACAGACACUGGUCCCGGGGAUGGGAGCCACCCCCAGUCCAGUAGUAGGAAGCUUAUUCUUCUGUACACAGUGAAGCUGUCUCCUCUUCCAUCACAACUCCCUGCUGGGAGUUGCUCAAGGCAAGAAGACCCGGUGCCAGCAAGACUGAAACAAAAAAGCAAAAGAGCUUUUAAAAGCAAGCCUUCUUCUGACUCAGAACCUGCUCCCGGACCUCCCCGUGGUCUCCCUGGACUGGUGCUGUGACUCUGGGGGAACGCCAGGGAAGGAAGAGAGGAAAACCUUGUUAUUGAUGCUAAAUGAUACCCUCUCAAACAAGAGAGUUCUUCUCAUCUUCUGUUUUCUAUGAAGCAAGGAUAAUAAGAAGCUUCAAAUUGGAACAUGUUUUAUUUUUCAAAACUUAAAGAGCUUAAAGUAAUUUAUACACACGCUUUUAAAAAUUUUAAGAAGUACUGAAAGGCUUGCAGUGAAAAGCUCGUCUUCUGCUCCUCAGAGCGAUCACUUUGUAAAAUGAAAUUUUUAUUGAGGUAAAAUUUACAUAUGGUGAAAUACGUACACAGACUUUAAGUCUUCAAGCCAAGUGGUUUUGAUAAAAAUUGGUGCAGUGGUGUAACUACCGCCACGUUCAAGACACACAUCAUUUCUAUCACCCCUGAAAAUACCUUCACGCCCCUUGGCCAUGCUAUACAGGAAAGCAAAAGUAAUUCACCAUAAUGACCAUGAAAAUGACCACUGAGUAGAAGAAUUGUUAUGGAAAUAUCUUUUACUAUUGUUUUUAAAAGAUGAAAUAGUUAUAAAUAUGGUUAUAUUUUGGAUCCACUAGAGGGAGUAAUAAAGUCCAAUUGAUCAAUUUUUUAUUUUAUCUCGUGUUUUUGAUAUCAUUCUUCAAGAAACCUAAGAUCACUGAUUUACUCAUGCUUUCUUCUAAGAGUUUCACAGUUUUAGCUCUUACAUUAUAGUCCAUGAUCCAUUUCAAGUUUAAUUUUGUGUAUGGUGUGAGGGAAGGGUCCACACAUACUUUUACAUGUGGCUGUACAAUUGUCCCAGCAACAUUCGUUGAAAAGAUUAUUCUUUCCCCCAUUGGAUUGUUUGGGUACCCUUGUUGAAAAGCAAUUGAUAAUGACUGUAAAGGGUUAUUUCUGGACUCUGAAUUCUCUUCCAUUGAUCUAAAUGUCUCUCCUUAUGUCAGCACCACACUGUCUUGAGUAUAGGAGUUUUGUAUUAAGCUUUGAAAUCAGGGUGAAUAAGUCCUCCAACUUUGUUUUUCAUUUCCAGAUUGUUUUUGCUAUUCUGUGGAUUUUGCAUUUCUAUAUGAACUUUAGAUCAGUUUGUCAAUUUCUACAAAAAUAUCCAACUGAGGUUUUAAUAAGGAUUGCAUUGAGUCUUAGAUCAAUUUGUGGAGAAUUGUCAUCCUAAUAAUACCAAGUCUUCCAGCCUUUGAAAAUGUAAUGUCUCUCUCCAUUUAUUUAGAUCUUCUUAAUUUCUUUCAACAAAGUUUUGUAGUUUUCAGAGUGUAAGCUUUGCACUUCUUUUGUUAAAUUUGUCCCUAAAUAUUUUAUUCUUUUUGAUUCCAUAUUGUGAAUGGAACUGCUUUCUUAAUUUCAUUUUAGAUUGCCAUUGUUAACGUAUAGACAUACAAUUGAUUUCUCUAUGUUGAUUUAUCCUGCCGCCUUGCUGAAUUCAUUUAUUAGUCAUUUUUUAAAAAUAGAUUUUUUAAAGGAUUUUCUGUAUAUGAGAUUAUGUUGUCUGAAAAUAAAGAUAGUUCUAUUUCAGAC